GACGAUCAUGGCCAUGCGCUGGAACCAACAAAAGUUUGACAAGUUGGCUUCUACCCUUGCCCGCCGAUAUCGGAAGGCCACAAUAGCCCUGCAAUGCCAGUUGCAUAACCUGGAGGCCAUGAAAACGGAAAUGGACGUCUCAGACAAUCAACUGGAGAGGUGGAUCAUUGAUAUCAAUGAGUGGGCAGAAGCAACAACAUCCCCAAAUGAUGCUGAUGUUGCCGCUGUUGCCAGCCGAAUUGAGGAGCUGGUGGCAAGUGUUAAGAGGAGGUCCCAGCGUCUUUACAAGGAUAGUGACGGA
ensembl:lncRNA